GCGAAUGUGGCUGAGCGGCGAGGCAGCGGCCUGCAAAGCCGUCCACACGGGUUCGACUCCCGUCAUUCGCUC
rnacentral:tRNA from 1 species